rnacentral:rRNA from 1 species
AACGAACGCUGGCGGCAUGCCCAACACAUGCAAGUCGAACGCGUGUAGCGAUACACGAGUGGCGGACGGGUGAGUAACGCGUGGGAACCUGCCCAAUGGUAGGGAAUAACUGCGGGAAACUGCAGCUAAUACCCUAUGCUCCCUACGGGGGAAAGAUUCAUCGCCAUUGGAGGGGCCCGCGUCGGAUUAGCUAGUUGGCGGGGUAAUGGCCCACCAAGGCUACGAUCCGUAGCUGGCUGAGAGGAUGAUCAGCCACACUGGGACUGAGAUACGGCCCAGACUCCUACGGGAGGCAGCAGUGGGGAAUAUUGGACAAUGGGGGAAACCCUGAUCCAGCAAUGCCGCGUGAGUGAAGAAGGCCUUAGGGUUGUAAAGCUCUUUCGGCGGGGACGAUGGUGACGGUACCCGCAGAAGAAGCCCCGGCUAACUUCGUGCCAGCCGCCGCAGUAAG